rnacentral:lncRNA from 1 species
CUAUUCAAAAAUAUCAUGCCUUUCUUUUCAGCUAUCCAGAUUGCCGGUUCUUAGGGUGCUAUUCAGAUGUGUGUUUUUGGCUAAACAGCAGCCUAGGCUAACAGCAACAGUGUUUGGGCUAACAGUAGCCUAGGCUAACAGCAACAGUGUUUGGCUAACAGUAGCCUAGGCUAACAGCAGCAGUGUUUGUCUAACAGUAGCCUAGGCUAAAGUAACAGUGUUGGGCUAACCAGUAGCCUAGGCUACACAGUACAGUGUUUGGGCUAAAGUAACAGUAGUUUGGGUUAACAGUAGCCUCGGCUAACCAGUACAUUGUUGUAACAGUAUAACCAGUGUUUGCGCGCUCAGCAGACUUAGGCAACAGCAACAGUGUUUGUCUAACAGUAACAGUGUUUGGGCUAGCAGUAGCGUAGGCUACACAGUAACAGUGUUUGGGCUACAAACAGUAGCUGGCUAACGUAACAGUGUUUUGGGCUAACAGUAGCCUAGGUACACAUUAACAGUGGAACAAACAGAAGUCAUAGACUGCUUGAUUCUGUCAGACCCUCCGUUGGUGCUGUAGGCUCACCGUUAUAGAAGUAGGGAAGACAGCAUACCAUUGUCAGGGCUGACCAGAGGGCUAAUGCUCUGUAGUAAAACACCUGUUCAUGUUAAAAUGCAACCCAUUUUUUGAACAUUAGCUUGAAGAUAAAACAAAUUACUUUUGUCCUCAGAGCUGUAGGCUACAUUUAAAGUGCACAACUUUAAACAAUGUGCUGUCAACAAUGUA